rnacentral:lncRNA from 1 species
CCACCCUCUCUGAGAAAAGUUGGCCAGGAAAUAACCCGUGUAGCCUCCUAAAAAGUCACAUGGGUGAAACUGUUAGUUUAUUGAGUCUGUAACGGUGAGGUGCAACAUAAGUUUAGUUCCUCAUACGAGCGCUUUCAUUUACACCUAACCGUGAAAACGCAUUAUACCUGUAGUGAGAUCACUAGCCAGAGCUCUCAUCUCCGCGCCAAAAGAGUCUUAAACGUGUACUGAGGAAUGAAAAACAAACUCGUGAUGGAGUCUGAUAUGAAGAAGAAGAAGAGGGAGAAAGUCACAUGUUGCCGAGAGGAUAGAAAUAGCUGCAGUCUCUGUCAAAACAGUUUAGUGCUUUUCUGUUCAUAUGGGAGUAAACAGACCUCGUAUGCACUCAUGACGAGGGUGUGUGAGGACAGCAGUGAGAACAGCUGCACACAGGGAACUGCUAUCUUGGUAAACAAGCCACAACGUACUCUCUGAUUAGGCAAAGUCAAACCGUUUAUGCGUUACAUCUCAUCAUGAAGGAGAUGUUCUUGAGUGUUUCAUGUUA